rnacentral:rRNA from 1 species
AUACAGAGGUCCCGAGCGUUGUUCGGAUUCACUGGGCGUAAAGGGUGCGUAGGUGGUGAGGUAAGUCGGAUGUGAAAGCUCGGAGCUCAACUCCGAAAUGGCAUUGGAAACUACCUUGCUAGAGGGUUGGAAGGGGGACUAGAAUUCUCGGUGUAGCAGUGAAAUGCGUAGAUAUCGAGAGGAACACCAGUGGCGAAGGCGAGUCCCUGGACCGAUAUUGACGCUGAGACGCGAAAGCGUGGGUAGC